rnacentral:tRNA from 1 species
GUCCCGGUAGCUCAGCGGACAGAGCAGCGGCCUUCUAAGCCGCGGGUCGGGGGUUCGAAUCCCUCCCGGGACG